ACUGUCCAGGACAUGUAGUAAUUAAUCAAUUCAGCACCUACUUAUUGAGUGCUUGUUAAGCAUUAAGCACUAUAUGUGGGUCAUAAGAUAUAUUCCCUGCUUUUUUGGUGCUUAUGCAGUGAUUCUCAAACUAUUAUGAUUAGAAUAUUCUAAGAACUUAAAAGUUCUAAUGCCAGGGCAAAAUGACAGUCAUCUGCUGUAACCUUUCUCACACUCGAUACUGAUCCCUAUAGGAAACCACUAGUAGAAUCCAAAUCUCUUUCUUUCUUUUUUUUCUCUUUUUUGAGAUGGAAUCUCGCUCUGUCACCAGGCUGGAGUGCAGUGGUGUGAUCUCGGCUCACUGCAAUCUCUGCCUCCCAGGUUCAAGUGAUUCUCCUGCCUCAGCUUCCCGAAUAGGUGGGAUUACAGGCGAGCCACCUUACCAUAUUGCUUAUUAGUGUCAUAGGAAAUAAAAUUACUGUGUUAAAAGGAAUAAAUAUUUUAAAAGCAAAGAUCACAUGACCAAUUAUUAACUUACUUUGGGGGACAGUCACACAAAGAC
rnacentral:lncRNA from 1 species